AUUGAACGCUGGCGGCAGGCCUAACACAUGCAAGUCGAGCGGCAGCGGGAAAGUAGCUUGCUACUUUUGCCGGCGAGCGGCGGACGGGUGAGUAAUGCCUGGGAAAUUGCCCAGUCGAGGGGGAUAACAGUUGGAAACGACUGCUAAUACCGCAUACGCCCUACGGGGGAAAGCAGGGGACCUUCGGGCCUUGCGCGAUUGGAUAUGCCCAGGUGGGAGUAGCUAGUUAGUGAGGUAAUGGCUCACCAAGGCGACGAUCCCUAGCUGGUCUGAGAGGAUGAUCAGCCACACUGGAACUGCGACACGGUCCAGACUCCUACGGGAGGCAGCAGUGGGGAAUAUUGCACAAUGGGGGAAACCCUGAUGCAGCCAUGCCGCGUGUGUGAAGAAGGCCUUCGGGUUGUAAAGCACUUUCAGCGAGGAGGAAAGGUUGAUGCCUAAUACGUAUCAACUGUGACGUUACUCGCAGAAGAAGCACCGGCUAACUCCGUGCCAGCCGCCGCCGUAACAC
rnacentral:rRNA from 1 species